AAGAGGUGAGGGUCAUGCUGUUCAGGUAUCUAUGAAAGAUGUCUAUUUUAAAGUAAGGACCACAAGGAGGAUGUUCAGUGUUCUCUCUUGAGCAUGAAGCUGGCUUUAGGUGUUGCUUCCACAACUGCCUAUUGCCAUUGAUGACAUUCUUUUCUCCCUUUGGGGGAGUAGGAGGAGAGGACAUAGUUUGAAUGGU
rnacentral:snoRNA from 1 species